GACGAACCGUGCGAACGUUGUUCGGAAUCACUGGGCUUAAAGGGCGCGUAGGCGGGUGGUCAAGUCGGUGGUGAAAGCCUCCAGCUUAACUGGAGAAGUGCCGCCGAUACUGACUGUCUCGAGGGAGGUAGGGGCAUGUGGAACUCAGGGUGGAGCGGUGAAGUGCGUAGAUAUCCUGAGGAACGCCGGUGGCGAAAGCGACGUGCUGGACCUCUUCUGACGCUGAGGCGCGAAAGCCAGGGGAGCAAACGGG
rnacentral:rRNA from 1 species